rnacentral:rRNA from 1 species
AGUGAAUAGAUACCCCGGUAGUCCACGCCCUAAACUAUGUCAACUAGGUGUUGGGUGGGUAAAACCAUUUAGUACCGUAGCUAAACGCGUGAAAGUUGACCGCCUGGGGAGUACGGCCGCAAGGUUAAAACUCAAAGGAAUUGACGGGGACCCGCACAAGCGGUGGAUGAUGUGGAUUAAUUCGAUGCAACGCGAAAAACCUUACCUACCCUUGACAUGCCAGGAACUUGCCAGAGAUGGCUUGGUGCCCGAAAGGGAGCCUGGACACAGGUGCUGCAUGGCUGUCGUCAGCUCGUGUCGUGAGGUGUUGGGUUAAGUCCCGCAACGAGCGCAACCCUUGUCGUUAAUUGCCAUCAUUUGGUUGGGCACUUUAACGAGACUGCCGGUGACAAACCGGAGGAAGGUGGGGAUGACGUCAAGUCCUCAUGGCCCUUAUGGGUAGGGCUUCACACGUCAUACAAUGGUCGGUACAGAGGGUUGCCAAGCCGCGAGGCGGAGCCAAUCCCAGAAAGCCGAUCGUAGUCCGGAUUGCAGGCUGCAACUCG